ACGGUGAGUAACACGUAUCCAACCUGCCGUCUACUCUUGGCCAGCCUUCUGAAAGGAAGAUUAAUCCAGGAUGGGAUCAUGAGUUCACAUGUCCGCAUGAUUAAAGGUAUUUUCCGGUAGACGAUGGGGAUGCGUUCCAUUAGAUAGUAGGCGGGGUAACGGCCCACCUAGUCAACGAUGGAUAGGGGUUCUGAGAGGAAGGUCCCCCACAUUGGAACUGAGACACGGUCCAA
rnacentral:rRNA from 1 species